rnacentral:rRNA from 1 species
CCUACGGGUGACAGCAGUAGGGAAUAUUGCUCAAUGGAGGAAACUCUGAACCAGCAACGCCGCGUGGAGGAUGAAGGUUUUCGGAUUGUAAACUUCUUUUGUUAGAGAAGAUAAUGACGGUAUCUAACGAAUAAGCACCGACUAACUCCGAGCCAGCAGCCGCGGUAAUACGGAGGGUGCAAGCGUUAUUCGGAAUCACUGGGCGUAAAGGGCGCCUAGGCGGGUUCGCAAGUCAGUUGUGAAAUCCUAUGGCUUAACCAUAGAACUGCAUUUGAUACUGGUAUUCUAGAGUGUGGGAGGGGUAGGCGGAAUUCUUGGUGUAGCGGUAAAAUCCGUAGAGAUCAAGAAGAAUACUCAUUGCGAAGGCGGCCUGCUAGAACAUAACUGACGCUGAUGCGCGAAAGCGUGGGGAGCAAACAGGAUUAGAUACCCGGGUAGUC